rnacentral:rRNA from 1 species
GACAGAGGGUGCGAACGUUGCUCGGAAUCAUUGGGCGUAAAGCGCGUGUAGGCGGCAUCGCACGUCGGUGUGAAAGCCCGGGGCUCAACCCCGGCAGUGCACCCGAAACGACGAUGCUAGAGUGCUGGAGAGGCGGGUGGAAUUCCCGGUGUAGAGGUGAAAUUCGUAGAUAUUCGGAAGAACACCAGUGGCGAAGGCGACUCGCUGGACAGACAUUGACGCUGAGGUGCGAAAGCGUGGGGAGCAAACAGG